rnacentral:rRNA from 1 species
CCUACGGGUGGCUGCAGUGAGGAAUAUUGGUCAAUGGGCGCAAGCCUGAACCAGCAAAGUAGCGUGAAGGAUGACUGCCCUCCGGGUUGUAAACUUCUUUUAUAAAGGAAUAACGUGAGGCACUUGUGCCUUUUUGUAUGUCCUUUAUGAAUAAGGAUCGGCUAACUCCGUGCCGGCAGCCGCGGUAAUACGGAGGAUCCGAGCGUUAUCCGGAUUUAUUGGGUUUAAAGGGAGCGUAGAUGGGUUUGUAAGUCAGUUGUGAAAGUUUGCGGCUCAACCGUAGAACUGCAAUUGAUACUGGCAGCCUUGAGUACAGGUGAGGCAGGCGGAAUUCGUGGUGUAGCGGUGAAAUGCGUAGAUAUCACGAAGAACUCCGAUGGCGAAGGCAGCCUACUGAACUGCAACUGACGCUGAGGCGCGAAAGUGUGGGUAUCAAACAGGAUUAGAUACCCUGGUAGUC